CCGGCUCAGAACGAACGCUGGCGGCAGGCCUAACACAUGCAAGUCGAGCGCAGUCCUUCGGGACCGAGCGGCGGACGGGUUAGUAACGCGUGGGAACAUACCCUUUUCUACGGAAUAGCCUCGGGAAACUGAGAGUAAUACCGUAUAAGCCCUUCGGGGGAAAGAUUUAUCGGGAAAGGAUUGGCCCGCGUUAGAUUAGAUAGUUGGUGGGGUAAUGGCCUACCAAGUCUACGAUCUAUAGCUGGUUUUAGAGGAUGAUCAGCAACACUGGGACUGAGACACGGCCCAGACUCCUACGGGAGGCAGCAGUGGGGAAUCUUAGACAAUGGGCGCAAGCCUGAUCUAGCCAUGCCGCGUGUGUGAUGAAGGUCUUAGGAUCGUAAAGCACUUUCGCCAGGGAUGAUAAUGACAGUACCUGUAAAGAAACCCCGGC
rnacentral:rRNA from 1 species